GAUGAACGCUGGCGGCGUGCCUAACACAUGCAAGUCGAGCGAUCUUCUUCGGAAGAGAGCGGCGGACGGGUGAGUAACGCGUGGGUAACCUGCCUCAUACACAUGGAUAACAUACCGAAAGGUAUGCUAAUACAAGAUAAUAUAAGAGAUUCGCAUGGAUUUCUUAUCAAAGCUCCGGCAGUAUGAGAUGGACCCGCGUCUGAUUAGCUAGUUGGUAAGGUAACGGCUUACCAAGGCGACGAUCAGUAGCCGACCUGAGAGGGUGAUCGGCCACAUUGGAACUGAGACACGGUCCAAACUCCUACGGGAGGCAGCAGUGGGGAAUAUUGCACAAUGGGCGAAAGCCUGAUGCAGCAACGCCGCGUGAGCGAUGAAGGCCUUCGGGUCGUAAAGCUCUGUCCUCAAGGAAGAUAAUGACGGUACUUGAGGAGGAAGCCCCGGCUAACUACGUGCCAGCCGCCGCAGUAACAC
rnacentral:rRNA from 1 species